CUGACAUGCGUGCGAGUCGACGGGUUCUGAAACCUGGGAUGCGCAAGGAAGCUGACGAGCGGGAGGCCCUCACGGGCCGCACCGCUGGCCGACCCUGAUCUUCUGUGAAGGGUUCGAGUUGGAGCACGCCUGUCGGGACCCGAAAGAUGGUGAACUAUGCCUGAGCGGGGCGAAGCCAGAGGAAACUCUAGUGGAGGCUCGAAGCGAUACUGACGUGCAAAUCGUUCGUCUGACUUGGGUAUAGGGGCGAAAGACUAAUCGAACCAUCUAGUAGCUGG
rnacentral:rRNA from 1 species